UGCGGAAGAGAGUUGUUACUGUGACGAGCGAUAACCAUUGGCCUUGGAUAAAACUGAUUUGAAGUUGGACAGAACAGCUCUAACAACUUCUGAGACAUAACUUACCCGUGUGAUUAUAACCAGAGGGACCUGUUGGCGCUGAUUUUAGAGGAAGAACCUCUUUGGUCAGGUUUGUUGGACCUACCUGGAGUUUGAGCCUGGAUACUGCUGGAUGUUUGAUGGCGAGCUACAGCCCCGCAGAUCGGAAACACAAACUCAAUUGCAUGCAGAGGAUUUGAGGCCCUGGACUUUGAGGAUUUCGUCUACAUACACAUGACCAACUCACUCUACUACACGCGCUGUCUGCUGGAGUAUGCUGCUUCUUGUCUCUCGGCACAUUGUGUACCCAUUAACAAGGCCCUGUGUGCAGCCCAACCCCCUCCUCCCCACCCCCCACCUCCCCACCCCAAUCCUCAUCUUCCUUGCCUCUCAGUCGUCACAUCCACUGAGCGCUGACACAUCCCGGGUGAAGCUAAGUGCUCUGCUGCAGCGUGCUUGCAUGAGGGAGCAGCGGCCCAGCCCGGAUAAGGAACGGGCAGGGGGAGUGGGACGAUGGAGGCGGUGGCACUCUCUUAAGUAU